GACGAACGCUGGCGGCGUGCCUAAUACAUGCAAGUUGAGCGCUGAAGGUUGGUACUUGUACCAACUGGAUGAGCAGCGAACGGGUGAGUAACGCGUGGGGAAUCUGCCUUUGAGCGGGGGACAACAUUUGGAAACGAAUGCUAAUACCGCAUAAAAACUUUAAACACAAGUUUUAAGUUUGAAAGAUGCAAUUGCAUCACUCAAAGAUGAUCCCGCGUUGUAUUAGCUAGUUGGUGAGGUAAAGGCUCACCAAGGCGAUGAUACAUAGCCGACCUGAGAGGGUGAUCGGCCACAUUGGGACUGAGACACGGCCCAAACUCCUACGGGAGGCAGCAGUAGGGAAUCUUCGGCAAUGGACGAAAGUCUGACCGGGCAACGCCGCGUGAGUGAAGAAGGUUUUCGGAUCGUAAAACUCUGUUGGUAGAGAAGAACGUUGGUGAGAGUGGAAAGCUCAUCAAGUGACGGUAACUACCCAGAAAGGGACGGCUAACUACGU
rnacentral:rRNA from 1 species